CUCCAUCACUUCGGAGCCCCUUUGUGGGCUGCACAUUCUGUAGCCCUGAAAGAGUCUACAGCUCUUCCAAAGCACCCUGAGGUGAGGCUUCCACACCCAGACCAGGUUCAGGCUCUGCAUCCAAACCUGACCAGGUCAUAGCUUGACCUUUGGACCCAGAGCUUCCAGAACUCCACAGUCCACUCAGAAGCUAGACCUUCUCCAACUAUGCAGGAGACUCUCCCCUCUAAGCCUCCAGAACCACCCAAGGAGCCUGUCACUCAACUCUGGUGCCUCAUGAUGUGAGUCCCACCUUCAGCUCAGGAGUCUGCUCAACAUCCAAUGUCACAAAGGGUCACAGGCCACCCUUGGACCUGGUGUUCCUCACAGCUGCAAUGCCCACCACAGAGGCUGCACUUCCUGUAGCCCUGCAAAAGGCUGCAAUCUGUCUGCCUCCACAGCACACUGAGAUAAAGAAAGGAGAAAGAAGAUGAACACUGAAAAAGGAUGAAGAGGAGAAGACAGCUGAAUGAGACUCUCUGCAUAUCAACUUGGAUCUUUCAGUUUUAGCCUUGUUACCUUGGGCAAAUUAUUUAGCUCAGUGACUCAAUUUCCUCAUCCACAAAAUGGGGCCUAUGAAUCCAUAGGUAGAACAAUCCAGAGGGGAAUGCCCACUUCAGGAAGACCACCUAGAAUGCUCCAGCAAAACCCAGGAGUGUGGGAGAGGGGUGGAGUCAGAGUGGCUGUAAGGAGAGAAAAUGCAGGGAGCACUACAGAGGAAGGACACAGAUGAGCAAUGAGCAAACAGCUGGGGAUGGAUGCACAGAAAGGACACAGCUCAAACUGGACUGUGCAGGCCACCUGUGGUGGUAGCGAGAAGGCAGCACUGGGGAGGUGGAGGGCAGCACUGGAGAGGUGGACAGCACUGGGUCUGGGAGUGUGAGGAGCCCAGCAAUCAGCAGAGAUGUCGCUGAGCAGGUGGUGUCUGUGGCCUUCCUGGAGUACAGGACAGUUGACUAUCCUAAACAAAGUGGCUGCAUUUCAUAUGAUGCAGUGUUCUGAGUAGGAAGCCACUUAAGCCAGAGAUCUUUUCAUACUUGAAUAUUUCUGACUCCUAUUUUAUUUGUGUGGAUGUGGAUGGAGGAAGAGCUGCCCAUCAAUCUUCCCUGGUCAAAAGCAGUCUCUUUUCUGAUGGUUCAAGAAGCACCCAAAGGGAAUGUGGAAGGAACAUUCAUGAAGGUCUCACCAGCACCUAAGAACAAUACCAGCACCAAGUUAAGGACCGAGCCUGCAAAGUCUUCUGAGGAAAGUGGUAUUGACUGGUUGGGCUUCAGGAACACACAGCUCCACUUUAAAGAUGAAAGUGAUGUGCUUAGCGCUGUGUUACAUACUGCUGUAUUCCCUGGAGGGAAACCCAGGAGAUGGAGAAUCAACAUUAUUGCCAUUCACUCAACUGCUUUCUUUCUUCAAAUGUAUAAGCCAGAGAUAAUUCCUUGGGUUAUUUGCAAAACAAUACAAGAAACCCCUUGCCUACCAGCAAUUCAUCUUACAAAAAUGAAUUGAUGAAACCGUAUUUUCUGCAAAAUUUAUUAGAUGCAAAAAUUCAGGAAAAAAUCAAGGAGGUUAAGAGGAGCAAACUGCUAGGCUUAUGCAGCCCAGACUUUUAGGUCCCAAAUUUAAACAUAAAAUCUUUCCAAAGAAUUUGGCAAGUGCUCAAGCACAGGAAAAAAGCCUGGUGGAGGAUUGGCCUGGAAGGAGAAGGCUGCAGACAGUGAUAGGGUCCUCAAGGGCCUGAACGGCACGCGGAAAAGGUUCCUCAAGGAAAUGUGGAAACAGAAGACUGGGGAGAUGCAAAGCACCCAGGUAGUGGUGAAGAACAUCCCCCAAGAAAGAAGCCUUGGGAGACAGCACAGGGGAGGCUGGGGCAGCUUGGGGUGGGAGUGAAGCCCAGGAACUUGGCUGGAAACUCCUUCCACAUGGGGGACAGAGGCAGCUUCCCCCCUGAAAGGUCUGUCACUGUGCAGCUCUCGCACUCCCACACCUGCCAGAGCCCCACCUGAGGGAAGAAAUGGAGAAAGAGACUUUACCUACAGCAUUUUUGUUUUAAAACAUGCAG
rnacentral:lncRNA from 1 species